rnacentral:rRNA from 1 species
GAUUGCAUGAGGUGGAAACACUUCUUCCCUUCGGGGCUAUUUACAAGGUGCUGCAUGGUUGUCGUCAGCUCGUGCCGUGAGGUGUCGGGUUAAGUCCCAUAACGAGCGCAACCCUUACCGUUAGUUGCCAUCGGGUCAAGCCGGGGACUCUAGCGGGACUGCCACCGUAAGGUGAGAGGAAGGUGGGGAUGACGUCAAAUCAGCACGGCCCUUAUGUCCAGGGCUACACACGUGUUACAAUGGCCGGUACAGAGGGCAGCUACCUGGUGACAGGAUGCUAAUCCCGAAAGCCGGUCCCAGUUCGGAUCGAAGUCUGCAACUCGACUUCGUGAAGCUGGAUUCGCUAGUAAUCGCGCAUCAGCCAUGGCGCGGUGAAUACGUUCCCGGGCCUU